AUGAUGAUGUCACUGACUCUACUGCUGGGCACCCUGGGGCUCCUUGUUCAGGGUUCAUCAGGACAAAUCAUCCUGGCUCAGUCUCCUGGAUCUCAGUCUGUUGCUCCAGGACAGACUGUCACCAUCAGAUGUAAAACCAGUUCAAAUGUUUAUAACAAUCUCCAGUGGUACCUUCAGAAAUCUGGAGAAGCUCCUAAACUCCUGAUUUAUUCAGCUACAUCCCGUCAGUCUGGAAUUUCAGAUCGUUUUAGUGGACGUGUGAUUACAGAAUACACUGAUUACACUCUGACCAUCAGUGGAGUUCAGGCUGAAGAUUCAGGAGUUUACUACUGUCAGCAGGAUUACAGCAGACCGUUCACACAGUGA